GACGAACGCUGGCGGCGUGCUUAACACAUGCAAGUCGAACGGAAAGGCCCUGCUUGCCGGGUACUCGAGUGGCGAACGGGUGAGUAACACGUGGGUGAUCUGCCCUGCACUUCGGGAUAAGCCUGGGAAACUGGGUCUAAUACCGGAUAGGAGCCAUUUUUAGUGUGAUGGUUGGAAAGUUUUUUCGGUGUAGGAUGAGCUCGCGGCCUAUCAGCUUGUUGGUGGGGUAAUGGCCUACCAAGGCGGCGACGGGUAGCCGGCCUGAGAGGGUGGACGGCCACAUUGGGACUGAGAUACGGCCCAGACUCCUACGGGAGGCAGCAGUGGGGAAUAUUGCACAAUGGGCGCAAGCCUGAUGCAGCGACGCCGCGGGGGGGAUGACGGCCUUCGGGUUGGAAACUCCUUUCGCUAGGGACGAAGCUUUUUGUGACGGUACCUAGAUAAGAAGCACCGGCUAACUACGUG
rnacentral:rRNA from 1 species